rnacentral:rRNA from 1 species
UACAGAGGUGGCAAGCGUUGUUCGGAAUUACUGGGCGUAAAGGGCGCGUAGGCGGUCUUGUCAGUCCCUUGUGAAAUCCCCCGGCUCAACUGGGGAACUGCACGGGAAACAGCAGGGCUUGAGUUCGGGAGAGGGAAGCGGAAUUCCGGGUGUAGCGGUGAAAUGCGUAGAUAUUGGGAGGAACACCAGUGGCGAAGGCGGCUACCUGGACCGGUUCUGACGCUGAGGCGCGAGAGCGUGGGUAGCAAACAGG